UCCCCAAGUGACCUACAGGUGUAUUCUCAACCACUCCCUGCGCUGGCUAUGUUGCUUAUUUCAACUUGAACUUCAGUUGGUGAUUUAUGGGAUGUGGGAAAAGCUAAAGACCCCAGAAAGUGAACAGCCAAAGCAGCUGACAACAGACACAGAAGGCGAAGCCAAGGCCCAGAGACCCCAACCACGCUAUCUUUUACUCUUUUAAUUCUUGCUGUGACAUUCAGAGCUGCAGCUAUGCCUGGUACCAUGCUCUGCCUAUGCCUGCCCACUGGCUCCUUGGUCUACAUGGUCCAGCGAAGAAGAAAGGAAAUGAUCCAUUUUCCAGUCUCCCAAGAAUUGGAGUGUACAUGGUAUCAGCAGAAAGCAAGCAGGUGAUGGAUGACGCCCAAGACAAGUAGUCACAGGCAUUUCAUCUGGCCUCCUCUAACUCUGAACAUGUGGAAUUGGAAAUCAAGCCCUGUAGAUUUGGCUUUUCUGAGCUCUUUUUUCCCCUCCCACUUCCCUGUUUAUUUAGUUUUGUAUCAUUUAUUUCUAUACUUUAUCCUGCAAACGAAGUGCAAUUCAAGCUCUUUGAAAGAAACCAGGACACCAGUGAAUGCAUCAUUUUGACAACGAAGUGACAAAACAUCUCUCAGAAUCUCUCCACACUCAGCUAAUAAAUGAGCCAUGCCAAACACAGAUCCUAAUGCGCAGUAAAGAACAGUGAAAACAAGGGGCCUCGUCCACAACAGAGAGCUGAGGACAGCAUGGAGUGUUCGGUGGUUGAGGAGGGAAAAGACAGAGUCAGUGUUGAACUGUAACAAAGAACACAAUGACCAGGGAAACAAGGCAAGUGUCUUCCCACGAGAAUGAAACCUUGUGUGACACCGUGUCUGGAGCCAUAUGUUUUAUGUUGGAGGUGUCAUAAAGAGGAAAUAAAGGACUUGCCCUUUAUCUGGAUACCUCUCCUAUAGCUGAACAAGGAAUUCAUGAAUCCCAAUGAGUCCAGGGAGGAGCAACAGUGAAAUCAGCCUACUAUCCAACAGAAAAAUGCUGAUGGAAGGCUCAAACCCAAAGGC